rnacentral:lncRNA from 13 species
AUUUUGACUCCUUGAUGAAAUUGAUGUCUGCCAGGCUUUUCCACUGAACACUUAACUAUUUUCCUCUUUAUAAUAAGUAUUUUCUGAGGAGAAGCUUUAAAACUAGCCCAAGCAUUCCAACCACUUAAACAAAAUCCAUCUGUGUGGCCCCAACCAAAGCCUUAAAACCCACCAAGAUCAGGCCUGGCACGGUGGCUCACACCUGUAAUCCUAGCACUUUGGGAGGCCGAGGCGGGCGGACCACCUGAGGUCAGGAGUUCGAGACCAGACUGGCCAACACAGCAAAACCCCAUCUCUACUAAAAAUACAAAAAUUAGCCGGGCGUGAUGGCAUGUGCCUGUAGUCCCAGCUACUUGGGAGGGUGAGGCAGGAGAAUCUCUUUAACACGGAAGGUGGAGGUUGCAGUGAGCCGAGAUCACACCACUGCAUUCCAGCCUGGGUGACAGGGCAAGACUCUAUCUCAAAACAACCACCCACCACCACCAACAACAAAAAACAAAGAAAAACCACCAAGACCAGAAAAGAUUCGGAACACUGGGUCACUUGGCUGCCUUCCGAGCACCUGUGCCAGCUAGAUAUGGCUCAUUUUAUAGAUAAGCAAACAGAGUCCCGUUGAGUGUAGUUUAUCCAGCAAUCACGGGUACAGAACGAGCCUCUUCUGACAUCCUUGGGCCAUGUAGACAAGCAAUUCAGGUUCAAAAUCACAUCAGUUCAGUCAAAACUCUUCUGCUGGUUUGGAAGGUAAAUGAAUACAGCCUUAAAUUUUGACUUUAUGAGUGCAAUUUUUUCCUCUUAUAACUUUGCAUUCUGUCCACAAUCUGAUUUGAAGAAUCUCUAAUUAAGAACCAAAUACUCUAUGUCAUAGGACAGUCGUAUUUUUAGGAUAGUGGUAUUCUUGGAGCUUAACAAUAACUAAUCAAGAUAAACAGGACUUCCGAGGAAUAGACACACAUAUAAACCAUUCAGAUUAACAAAAGGACAUGCCCAGAGUUGGAGAAAACCAUAGCCCACCCUGGGAUGAGCUCUGCCUUGUAGAGGGGGGCUGAGAUUUUACUGAGUCACCUGGAGCAAUGCUCUGCAUUUUCCGGACUUUUCUGGAGGUGAAAUAAGGUGAAAUAGGUGAAAUAAGCCAUUGAGGUGUCCUUCGCACUGUAGCUGGGCACACGGCAUCACUAGCUUGCUGGUCUGAUGCACUCUGGGAAAACUAGCCAAUGAGGUUCAUAUUAAAGCAUACCUACACCUCUUCACCCAUAAUUCGACCUGUCGUAUGGGGUAUGAACACCCAGCAUUUCUGAAUUCAGUUUAGGGUGAUGUUGAAACGACCAGCUUGGUGGCUCUGAAAGGUUUCUGUUGAUUUCUGUAAAAUACCUCUCAUCUCACAGCAAUGCUGGGCAAAUGCAAGAAGUGGUACUAACUACAUCAUGCUAUGAGGCUUGAGAACUAGGAGGGAUUCAGCCAAUGCCUCCUACCAGGCCAAAAACUAGAAGCCGUAUUGGAUUAUUCAAAAGCAACAUAGACAGGCUGGGUGCAGUGACUCAAUGCAGUAAUCCCAGCAUUUUGGGAUGCUGAGGCAGGUGAAUCAUUUAAGGUCAGAAGUUUGAGACCAGCUUGGUCACCAUGGUGAAACUCCAUCUAUACUAAAAAUACAAAAAAUUAGCUGUGUGUGGUGGCAAAUGCCUGUUAAUCCCAGCUACUCAGGAGGCUGAGGCAGGAGAGGUGCUUGAACCUGGGAGGUGAAGGUUACAGUGAGCCAAGGGCACUCCAGCCUGGGUGACAGAGUGAGACUCCAUCUCAAAAACAAGCAAACAAAAAAACCCCACAAAAAAAACCGUCGACAGAAACUGGACAUCCAAGAUGGCCACCAAACCAAACAUGUACUUAGAUGAAAACAACACAUCGUCAAACAAGGCAGACGAUGUUACCAGAACAUAAAAUCAUUAUCAACAUUACACAAACAUCCUCAUCCGGCUCCAUCUUCACCUGACUGCUGUUACCAAACUGCUUUUGUAGAAUUGUAUAUGGGACCCCAUCUUGUUCCUGGCACACAGGAGGUGAUGAGUGAAUGGAACCAUAGUCUGCCUCACAUAGACAAGGAGGAAAUGAGAGGCAAUGGCCUUGACUAGACCCGGAAGGGUCCUUGAUGAUUCAUCACGAAAGGUUACUCUGGAUAAGCUCCAUCCCCAAAGAGUGAUGUAAGGCUCAAGGAAGGAGGCUGUGUUUGCUCUCAUACUGGGAAAGAAGUGUAGGCACCCACAUGCGACACUUUCCUGUUCACAAUUUAAACUAUUUUGCUGUUGGCUGGGCACAGUGGUUCACACUUGCUAUCCCAGCACUUUGAGAGGCCGAGGCAGGUGGAUCACCGGAGGUCAGGAGGUGGGACCAGCCUGGCCAACAUGGGGAAACCCUAUCUCUUCUAAAAAUACAAAAUUAGCUAGGCAUGGUGGUGUACACCUGUAAUCCCAGCUACUCAGGAGGCUGAGGCAGGAGAAUCCCUUGAACCCGGGAGUCGGAGGUUGCAGUGAGCUGAGAUUGUGCCAUUGUACUCCAGCCUGGGCAAAACACCAUCUCAAUCACAAUAAUACUACUAAUAAUAAAACACAUUUAAAAAAAACA